UCUUGUGUUUGUUGUCCAGUAGAGUUUUUGUCUGUUUGCACUUCAUGGGGCUUGGACAACUUACAACUCAUGUGUUGAGGUUUGUCUCCCCUUAGUGGCAAAUAAGUAUAUACGGUAUCACGCUAAGUUAUGUGUCACGUGAUGACGCAUGCUGGCUGUGCGCGUGCAUGGAGCGAGAGGGGGGUGGGAGAGGGGGAUAGCUUGGUGAUUAUCGAGGCUAAGGAUUAAAAUAUGAUUUUCUUGCCUUAACUAAGCUUUGUUUAUUAAAACAGUGAUAUCCGACACUUACUGUAUUUUUGUCAGUUUAACGACUUAAAGUUAAGCAGGUUGGCGACAGUCGGCUGUGAGGGUGGAUUUAAACUGUUACAUAUUUUCAAACUAUUUAAAAUUUCAGAAAAUGCAAAUGUUGUUUGGACAAAAUAUCUAGGUUUUGUUACUAAUGUAUUUUAGUUCCACAGUUCAGUGUUUAUUACAAAUCUCCUAACAGGGCCAAAGGUUGGAGACGAGAUGAGAUGCAGUUAUCCAGUGGUGGAGAACCUAUUCAAAGACAGCAAACCACAAAAACAGAAGCUGCAUUACAUUGAGAGCAACUGGCAACACUUAUGACCACAACCUUCUUAAGCAUGAUGCCACUAGUCAGAGCACAUCAUCGAUGCCCGGUGUAGAGGUGCUUUUCUCUGGAUUACACCAGGUGCCCUGUAAAUGACAUGUGAAGGCUAUCGCAGAUAUGUCAGUCUAUUUAUCAUCGGUAUGCCAAGAUGAUGUCAAUCAAGAAGACUUAAGUAAUGAUGUCAUGACAAUUCCUGUCCAUGGAAACAGAGAUGAGGAGCCAGUCGUGUCCUAAAGAAGGAAGCAAGGUGAACAAAACAAAAGGGGAAAAUACUACAAAAGCUUGUGCUCUUCUGACGGGUCUGAUGCCUUAUGCCUUAAACCUACACUAUCCAUCAAAUCUGAAAUACACUUUUGAGGUUUUUAAAAAAACUCUUUCUGGAUCUCGAUGGACUUAAGCUUUCUCCUAAAGUACCGUCUUAGAAAACCAAGCUGCACACUUGAAAUGAUUCAAGAACUGUUUUGAGCUGCUUGAGCUGUUUAAAUUCUUAGACCAGUUGUUCAAAUGUAAGCUGAUCGGAUUUUGGUUAUCGGAUUGGAUCAAAUCUUGAAAAUGGGUUGUUCAAAAGGGAAAGAAGGAAUCUGAAAUCCGAUUAGAUUACAAAAUCCAAUCCUAGUUUUAAUCUGGAUCAAACCAUCAGUUUGUCUUGUUGAAAACUAGUCAGUGGGAUUUGGAUAACUUUGAUCCAAAAAAAAACAGGAUUAUCCUGAUCCUAAUAGGGGGGUAGGAUUUCAAGGUGGAUUCCAGGAGGAAAAUGUAGUAAAACUUUAAAAUGGGUCAAAUAAUACUGUACAUUUGUAUCAUUUAGUGUAUAUACUUUUAUUGUAGCAAAACUUCAAAACAAAAAUUCAGAUAUGCCUCCUAAAAGCAGAGCUUGGAAAUGCUGGUCUCUCCUCCUCAGAUGAAAAAUAACCCUGAAUAUUUUGUUAACUAUUGGACAUUUAGCAAUUUUAUUUUUUUAACCUGUUAUGGACCUCGCCCCCUAUUUGUAGGAUUUUCGCCUACAUGACCUACCCACCUAAAAAGUGGUACAGCUCCCACAUACUUUGACACACAGGGGUGAGCCUGGUCUCAUUGGAAAGAAGAGAGUCUCUAGUUUCAGAUACAAGUGAGUCUAGGCCUUACUGACACAAAGUUGCAAAGGCUAGAAUGGAGGGUUUUGAUUUCCGUCUGAGAUUUUUCUGAUAAACUGAUUAAUCUUAUUGCUGUGAAACAUGUUAGGAGCUAAAUAACAACUGAGGGUCAUAGCCACAAAAUUUCAAGUCAAAAGACCCAAAAAUGGAUUCUAUAAAAAUAUUUUUCUACGGACAUGUCCAUCCGUUCAUGUUUUUCUUGUUUACUGUAUAACUUUGAAUUAAAAGACUGCAUGCUCAGUUUAAAAGGCCUAAAACAAAGAGAUCAUGAUCCGGAUCAUGAAAUUGCUACUGGAGGGAGCAAUUGUCAGUCAAAGGGAGGGUGUCCCACCUAGGAUGGAGAGACAUCAUUGGCUUCUCAGCCGUCUAUCUCUGCACUACAGGCGCCGAUUGGCUCAAGUCAGGGCUUGUUUGAUUCAUUAGGCCCUGGACUACAAAUCUGAUGCAACAGUGUAGUUUUAGAAGCCUCAUGGAGAAGUGAGAGCCGAAACAAAGGACGGAGGUGAACUGCUGUUCACUACGAAUUUUGAUUCAAUUAGUAUGACGGCUAUAAAUCAUAUUAUGCUUUGUGUGUGGGCUUAAUAAAAUCUUGAGAGUCUAAGCUUUGGAACAAAAAUAAGUUUAACCGUGUAUUUAGAGGAUUUAAUGCUUAAAAGCUACAACGAAGUUGAUGCAGCCUCAUCCCCUAGUGGUCAUUUUCCGUGUUGUGCCAAAUUCUUAAAGUUCUAAGUGUGUAUUUUGAUCUGAGCUUCAUAUUAAUUACCACUGUGGAGUGAGACAUGACAAAACAUUCAAUACUGAACAUAUACACAAUAAAACAAUUGCAAACUCCAGUCUAGAAUCCUGAAUGUUUAAUAGUCAAGCUAUCAAACAUUUUCAUGCUCAUGCAACACAUAUAGACAGGGAUCUGGGAUUGGAUUUGGGUUUACAUUUAUAUAUAUAUGUAUG